UCGUGCUGAUUUCAAGUAUAGGAAUUGGCUGUCAAAUUCUCACCCAGAUAUCUCAGCUAAAACAGAGGUGUUCGUCAGUCUGGCAAAAACAGCAACGAAAAGACACUUUCUUUGGGCAUGGCCCCACAUACAUGACCAAUAUGGUGAGAUAGAGGCAGACAUAACUUAUCAUGUACUCCCUCUGUUCCGAAAUAUAAGUCGUUAAACGAAAUCCUAGUCAAAAAAAUUUAGGCUACGAAAUUUCCGGAGUUUCCAAAUUUGCCCUCGCUCGCGACACGAACAGAUCACCUCUGACGGGUCGCGGACAGCUCACCCUCUUCCUCGCUCGCCUUCUUCCUCUCGUAUCCACCGCCGUCGGCGUCUUCCUCACUGCGCCCCACCACGUCGCUGCCGCCGCCGCCCUGCUCCCGCACGCCCUAUAUCCCUCCUCUAUUCCACUGCCGCGCUACCACCUCAGUAGGUGAGGCCAAGGUCAGAUUUUUCUGGCCAUGGGCGGCGGAUCUGCAAGCGGCAGGGCUGGAUCCUUCGCUUCUUUUACCGGAGUGUAGCGGCGCCCCCGAACACGAUAUUUUAGGCGCCGGCGACGAGCUUCUGGGCGGCGGAGCCGCUGGUUCUGCGUGCGCCGGUGCUACUGCAGCGGCCGGCGGCUCGAGCGUCGAGCCCGUCGCCCUGCUUCCCUCCGACAACCCCGACGCCACAGUCCGCCUACCCCCCGUACGGAGUUGGCGAUGGCAGUGGCGAGUCCGCAGCCGGCGGUGUGGGACCAGUUCAAGGAGGAGGUGGGGAUCAUGGAGGGGAGCUGCGGGAGGAGGUGGAGAUCAAGAAGAGACUGCUGGUCCAUGCCCGUGAGAAUGGGAAUGGACAUGGCCAUGUCAAUGGAGGGGAAGCAGAGGAGGACAAUGGGAAGGGCCCAAGGUUGCUGAAGAGGAGCAGCAGCCGCACAAGAGUAUCUGAAGUAAGUAUUCUGUGCAUGCAAGUGUUCUGAACAUGCUUCUGAAUGUUUCCAGAUUCUGAACAUGCAAGAAAAUCUGCAGGAGUAAACAAUUUCUUUCAGUAGAUAUUGCAAGUGUUUGUUCUGAACAUGUACUCUUACUGAAGAUAUUGCAAGUGUUUGUUCUGAACAUGUACUCUUACUGAAGAUAUUGCAAGUGUUCUGAACAUGUACUCUUACUUUGCUUGGAGUAAUUAACUGGACAUCUUGGAGUACUCCAAUCAUGAAUUAUUUGCAGAAAUUCAGUGAAGUACUGUACUCGAGUGUGCAUUAAUUACAUAAACUUGCUUGCUGUUAACUGUUGUAGCAUUAGGAGUAGUUUUACUGCAGUACUGCUUGAACUACUCCAAGCAUUAGGAGUACUGUAAAUGGAGUGCUUGCAUUAGGAGUAGCAAGUGCAGCAGUAGCCCUAAAUCCAGUAGCUGCAAUAAUGAAACCUUUUCAAACAAAAAUGAUCAUACAAAUGGAGUAAAAAUAACUUUUCAGUUAAUUUAAAUUAACUGAAGCUUUUCUAGUUAAUUAAAAUGAACUGAAACCUUUUCUGUUAAUUAGGGAGGACAACAGUAGUAUAGCACUGCAGCAGGAGUACUUUGUUUUAGAGUAUUAACUGAAACUUUUUCAGUUAAUUAGGAGUAGUAAGCAAGUGAUUUCCAGUAGCAAUUCCAGUACCAAUUCCUUAGAUUUGAAUUAACUGGAGUAGUAUAGCACUUGCUCUCUCUUCUUCUCUUGUAGUAGAGGAAGAGGAGCAGCAGACACGAUGAGAUGCAGAGAUAGUUCAUCAUGCCCAUCACUUUGUUCAAGUGCCAUCUGCAGCCUGUCUUCCUUGAACAUGGGUGAAGCAUAUUUUUUGGAUAUACUCCCAAAAAUAUCAUUGGUGUAUUACUGAAAAGGAGAUGGUUCAUAAGGUGGUUAUGACAAUGAAGACAAGGUUGCCAGGGCUUAUGAUCUGUCUGCUCUGAAAUAUUGGGGGGCCAUCGACGCACACCAAUUUCCCGAUUAGUGGAAAAUUAUCGAGAGGCGGAGGAGAUGUAAAGCAUGACAAGGCAGGAAUUCGUUGCACACUUGAGAAGUGAUCUCCUGGAGUUAGUUUCAGCAGAGAGAGGAGAUGAACCUGGGCAGCAGCCGAGCCUCAACCUGGGCGCGGGCGAGGAAGAGCCCAGCACCAGGUCGCCUCCACCUGGGCGCGCGCGGGCCAGGAGGAGCCCCUGGGCGUGGAGGAGGAGCGCCUGGGCGUGCGAGGACGCAGAUGGAGGUGGACUGGAGCGCCUGGCCGGAGGCGGGGGCGGGGCGGGGGCGGAGGUGGAGGGCGGGGCAGAGAUGGGGGCGGAGGUAGAAGACUAGAACCAGGGUAUUAACGUCAUUUCACAGCUUUUCACCUGGUCGGAACAAGGUCCCCAACGACCUAUAUUUCAGAACGGAGGGAGUACAAAGAAGGAGCUCUGAUAAAAUUAAAACAUGUACCUGGCAGAUUUACACACACUGACAAAGCCUCGGAACAGACAGAUCAUCUGGGACAUGCUAAGGGCCUAGGGCUGCUACUCAUCUACAAACUCUGAACCACCGGGCUGGGACAAGCUACAACACCUCAGGCUACCAACUGUUUCUACCACAACCACGGAAAACAUAUGAGCGGUGUAAUCUACAAAAUUUACUAUCGAGGUCAAACAGGAGCAGAACUUGUUCUCCGGAGUUGAUACUUGGGUUCUGGGGGAGGCGCGGAGGUUAUCAUCAUGUCCAACUCCUGAAAUUAUCAUGAAAUGGAAGGCGUCAGACAUGACAUGAAUAUAACAUAAUAUAAGCUACUUAGCAUCCAAAAGAAGUGUGAGGAUAAUGUUUGUUGCAUUGAA